ensembl:lncRNA
CGGUUGCCGGGCUGCCGCGGGGAAGCAUUUGGGCGUGGGACCGCGAGAAGCCGCUUGUAAACAGAACCGGGCCGGGAUGGUUGGCGGCCGGAGCGCAGCCGCUGGCGUGGCUCCUGGCCGUUUGCUGGCUUGUGUCAUAGCAGAUGUUCACCCCUUGGAAGAAAAGGUUUGGGUCUCUGUGUUAAUUCCACUCUACUGCAAAUGGAAGCCUGGAGUAGUGCACUGAUCUGAACCUAUGCAAACUGUCCUGUUAAAUCCUGCAGCGAGUGAACCCCGCCACGCCAAGGCCACUGAGAAGCGGGCAGAGCAGCCGCUGCUGCCUUUAACUCUGCAGAAGGAGUGCUUGGGUGCAUUAAGACUUUCUAUCCGAGCUUCCUAAGCAGAUCCCGUCAUCAUCCUUUCUGCAGUUGCUGGGUGUAAAAGAGAAGAUCAAAGAGAAAGUAGGAAUCUUUUCCAUGGUGUAGAUACCCAGGGCAUCCUGUACCCUGGUAGGGGUUC